UUUCCGUAGGUGAACCUGCGGAAGGAUCAUUAAAAAAUAAUCCUUUGGAUUAUAAAUCCAUACCCACCUUAUGUGCACCGUAACUUGUCCAUUGCUUUUUCCAUUUUCCGGUUGUGUGUUUUUCGUUUUUUCCAUUUCGAUGGGGGGAGCGGAAAUACCGGUGGUGGAUGGAAGAGCAAUAAUUAUCACACACGUUUAUAUUACCAAGUCUGAAGUAUAACUUUUGCGAAAGCAGAAAUUAAUAAAACAACUUUCAACAACGGAUCUCUUGGCUCCC
rnacentral:misc_RNA from 1 species